GAGGUGCCGCCUGCCCAGUGACCCUUCCCCUCAACGGCCGCGGUAUUACUAACCGUGCAAAGGUAGCAUAAUCACUUGUCCCCUAAAUAGAGACUAGAAUGAAUGGCCAAAUGAGGGCCCAACUGUCUUUUAGGGUCAAUCAAUGAACCUGAUCUUUCAGUACAAAAGCUGAAAUAAACCCAUAAGACAAAAAGACCCUGUGGAGCUUCAAAUAAGGCGCAUAAAAUCAAUGCCCCUAUUUUAAGUUGGGGCGACUACGGAAUAAAACAAAACUUCCACGCAUAGGGCCACCACCCCAAAAAGAUUAACACAUCAAAAUGAUGCCAUCUUGACCCAGAUAGACUGAGUAACGAACCAAGUUACCCCAGGGAUAACAGCGCCAUCCUCUUCAAGAGCCCCUAUCACCAAGAGGGUUUACGACCUCGAUGUUGGAUCAGGGCCCCCAAGUGGUGCAGCCGCUACUUAAGGUUCGUUUGUUCAACGAUUAAUGCCCUACGUGAUCUGAGUUCAGACCGGA
rnacentral:rRNA from 1 species